rnacentral:rRNA from 1 species
AGGUGGAUGUGCCCGAAAGGGAGCCAUCACACAGGUGCUGCAUGGCUGUCGUCAGCUCGUGUCGUGAGAUGUUGGGUUAAGUCCCGCAACGAGCGCAACCCUUGUCCCUAGUUGCUACGCAAGAGCACUCCAGGGAGACUGCCGGUGACAAACCGGAGGAAGGUGGGGAUGACGUCAAGUCCUCAUGGCCCUUAUGGGUAGGGCUUCACACGUCAUACAAUGGUCGGAACAGAGGGUUGCCAAGCCGCGAGGUGGAGCCAAUCCCAGAAAACCGAUCGUAGUCCGGAUCGCAGUCUGCAACUCGACUGCGUGAAGCUGGAAUCGCUAGUAAUCGCGGAUCAGCAUGCCGCGGUGAAUACGUUCCCG